rnacentral:rRNA from 1 species
GACGAACCGUGCGAACGUUAUUCGGAAUCACUGGGCUUAAAGGGCGCGUAGGCGGGCUCGCAGGUCAGGGGUGAAAGCCCGCGGCUCAACCGUGGAAGUGCCUUUGAUACCGUGAGUCUCGAGGGAGGUAGGGGCGUGCGGAACUUCCGGUGGAGCGGUGAAAUGCGUAGAUAUCGGAAGGAACAUCGGUGGCGAAAGCGGCGCGCUGGACCUCUUCUGACGCUGAGGCGCGAAAGCCAGGGGAGCAAACGGG